GAUGAACGCUGACAGAAUGCUUAACACAUGCAAGUCUUUGGCGAAGCUGUGCUUGCACAGCCUAGCCAAGGCGGACGGGUGAGUAACGCGUAAGGAACUUGCCCUGCAGUCAGGGAUAACAGACGGAAACGACUGAUAAGACCUGGUAAAGUCAGGCGGACUCAUGUCCAGCCUGAUGAAAAGAGAUGCUGCAGGAGAGCCUUGCGUCCUAUUAGCUUGUUGGUGGGGUAACGGCCCACCAAGGCGAUGAUAGGUAGCCGGCCUGAGAGGGUGGACGGCCACAAGGGGACUGAGAUACGGCGCUUACACCUACGGGAGGCAGCAGUGGGGAAUAUUGGACAAUGGGGGCAACCCUGAUCCAGCAAUUCUGUGUGCACGAUGAAGGUUUUCGGAUUGUAAAGUGCUUGCAGCAGGGAAGAAAAAAUGACGGUACCUGCAGAAGAAGCGACGGCUAAAUACGUG
rnacentral:rRNA from 1 species